UAACGGUGGAUAGAAACUCGGAAUUCCUUUGAUUGCCAUGAAUCAUUUGUCCUAUUCAGAAAUUAGGCAACCCAGGUACUUCUAAUGGACAUUAAUGAAUGCUUCACUUUGAAAGCGCAAUCAGAAUUUCCAAUUUGGGAGCAUUGGCGCCCUUGAAAAAUUUUAAGGUUCUUAAUGUUGCUGGCAAUAAAGAAAUAUAACAAAAGUUUAAAGGAGCCGCCAGCAUUCACCAGGGCCUGGGCCAGGCCUCCCCCAUGAAUAAGGUCUUCAUUGGCUGCAUUCACCACAGCAUCAACGGCAUGUCUGGUGAGAUCGUCCUUCCAAACAGAUAACUCGA